rnacentral:tRNA from 2 species
GCGCCCUUAGCUCAGCUGGAUAGAGCGUCUGACUACGAAUCAGAAGGCCGGGAGUUCGAAUCUCUCAGGGCGCGCCA